UUCGCCCUUAGAGUUUGCUUUUGGCUCAGGACGAACGCUGGCGGCGUGCCUAACACAUGCAAGUCGAGCGGAGUUACACACCGGAAAUCCCUUCGGGGGUGGAAGGAGUAUAACUUAGCGGCGGACGGGUGAGUAACGCGUGAGCAACCUUUCCUUCACUGGGGAAUAACACAUUGAAAGAUGUGCUAAUACCGCAUGAAACCAUAGAGUCGCAUGGCUUAAUGGUCAAAGAUUUAUCGGUGAGGGGUGGGCUCGCGUCCCAUUAGCUAGUUGGUGAGAUAACAGCUUACCAAGGCAACGAUGGGUAGCCGACCUGAGAGGGUGAUCGGCCACACUGGGACUGAGACACGGCCCAGACUCCUACGGGAGGCAGCAGUGGGGAAUAUUGGGCAAUGGGGGAAACCCUGACCCAGCAACGCCGCGUGAAGGAAGAAGGUUUUCGGAUCGUAAACUUCUGUCCUCAGUGAAGAGUAGAAGACGGUAACUGAGGAGGAAGCCCCGGCUAACUACGUGCCAGCAGCCGCGGUAAUACGUAGGGGGCAAGCGUUGUCCGGAAUGAUUGGGCGUAAAGGGCGCGUAGGCGGCCUGUUAAGUCUGGAGUGAAAGUCCCGCUUUCAAGGUGGGAAUUGCUUUGGAAACUGAUGGGCUAGAGUGCAGGAGAGGUUAGUGGAAUUCCCGGUGUAGCGGUGAAAUGCGUAGAGAUCGGGAGGAACACCAGUGGCGAAGGCGACUAACUGGACUGUAACUGACGCUGAGGCGCGAAAGUGUGGGGAGCAAACAGGAUUAGAUACCCUGGUAGUCUACACUGUAAACGAUGAAUGCUAGGUGUAGGAGGUAUCGACCCCUUGUGUGCCGGAGUUAACACAAUAAGCAUUCCGCCUGGGGAGUACGGUCGCAAGACUGAAACUCAAAGGAAUUGACGGGGGCCCGCACAAGCAGCGGAGCAUGUGGUUUAAUUCGAAGCAACGCGAAGAACCUUACCAGGUCUUGACAUCUAGUUAAAACUUAAGAGAUUAAGUGUGCCUUCGGGCGAACUAAGACAGGUGGUGCAUGGUUGUCGUCAGCUCGUGUCGUGAGAUGUUGGGUUAAGUCCCGCAACGAGCGCAACCCCUACUAUUCGUUACUAACGCGUAAAGGCGAGGACUCAAAUGGGACUGCCGGGGAUAACUCGGAGGAAGGUGGGGACGACGUCAAAUCAUCAUGCCCCUUAUGACCUGGGCUACACACGUGCUACAAUGGCCACUACAAAAAGAAGCGAGACUGCAAAGUGGAGCGGAUCUCAAAAAAGUGGUCUCAGUUCGGAUUGUGGGCUGCAACCCGCCCACAUGAAGCCGGAGUUGCUAGUAAUCGCGAAUCAGCAUGUCGCGGUGAAUAAAUUCCCGGGCCUUGUACACACCGCCCGUCA
rnacentral:rRNA from 1 species